AUGGAGGGGUGUGUUGGAGGGGCAAAGCAGAGGGGGGUGGUGGAAGGGCAAAGAAGAGAAGAAGGGAGGGCUCUAAUGGAGGGGUGGUGGAGGGGGAGCAUUAGAACAAGCAAGGUGCAAGGAAAGGGGGAGAAAGGAAGGGGGAGAGGAAGAAGAAAGGGGGGGAAGGAGGGGAAAGGCGCCGAGCGCCUCCCGACCCCGCCUCCCUCGGCCCCGCGCCGCUGCGCCACCUCGCCUCCGCCCGCCGGUGCGCGUCGCAACCUCACCGGACCCCAGGAGCCCCGCCGCCUCGCGCUGUCACCUGCGUCGCGUCGUGCGCCGCCACCUCCCCACAAGCUCGUCGCCCCGUCGCGGAAGCCUCGUCGCUGGUCUCCUCGACCUCGAGAUUCGUCGCCGCCAUGGGAGCGGAGCAUCGAGCUCCUCUGCACCCCGCCCGCGUCCCCGCGUCGCCGCCGCCGCCCCACCCUGCCUCGCGCCCGGAUCCAGCCAUGGGAGGUCCGGCCACUCCGGAUCCGGCCUCCUCCUCGCUGGACCUUCUACCUCGGUACGGUGCUCCUCCAUGCAUACUUACUCUGUUUUUCUCGAGCCAUGGUCGCAGUCUGCUGCAUGCCAGGCAGAUGGACCUUGCUGAUGACGGAGGAGCGGCGGCGCGCCAUAUGGGCCAUCUACGGUAAUCUGAAACUCACCAUGCCUGGCUUGGACCCUCAAUUGUUGCUCCCCUAUUGUAGUAUUAUGUGGUGCAGGAGGACAGAUGAGCUCGUGGACGGUCCCAAUGCGUCGCACAUCACGCCGCAGGCUCUUGACCGGUGGGAGAGGAGGCUGGAGGACCUGUUCACCGGGCACCCCUAUGACAUGCUCGACGCCGCGCUCUCAGACACCAUCGCCAUGUUCCCCAUAGAUAUUCAGGUACCAGAUAGCCGGUGCAUAAUUGUUCAGUCCACAUUGUAUGAUUCUGGUAGAACAGAGUGGUGGUGGAUAUUCCCUGUCAGCAUCAGAUUCCCCCGGACCUCACAAUCUCAGUGCAAGAUGACUAGCUAG
rnacentral:rRNA from 1 species